rnacentral:rRNA from 1 species
UACGAAGGGGGCUAGCGUUGCUCGGAAUCACUGGGCGUAAAGGGUGCGUAGGCGGACUCUUGAAGUCGGUGGUGAAAUCCUGGAGCUCAACUCCCAGAACUGCCUCGGAUACUGAGAGUCUCGAGUCCGGGAGAGGUGAGUGGAACUGCGGAGUGUAGAGGUGAAAUUCGUAGAUAUUCGCAAGAACACCAGUGGCGAAGGCGGCUCACUGGCCCGGUACUGACGCUGAGGUGACGGAAGCAGUGGGGAGCAAACAGG